rnacentral:tRNA from 1 species
GGAUCCGUAGCUCAGCUGGUUAGAGCGGUCGCUUCACAUGCGACAGGCCGUUGGUUCGAGUCCAACCGGGUCCA